rnacentral:rRNA from 1 species
GAUGAACGCUGGCGGCGUGCUUAACACAUGCAAGUCGAACGAAGCACUUUAACCUGAUUCUUCUGAUGAAGGUUUUUGUGCCUGAGUGGCGGACGGGUGAGUAACGCGUGUGUAACCUGCCUCAUUCAGGGGGAUCACAGUUAGUAAUGACUGCUAUUACCUCAUAAGACCACCGAUCCGCAUGGCUCGCUUUGAAAUACUUCGUUGGUAUGAGAUGGACCCGCGUCUGAUUAGGUAGUUGGUGGGGUAACGGCCUACCAAGGCAACGAACAGUAGACGAGAAGAGAGGGAGAGCGGAGACAAUGGGACUGAGAAACGGCAGAAAAUACUACGGGAGGGAGGAGAGGGGAAUAGAGCAAAAUGGGGGAAAAGAUGAAGAAGCGACGACGGGUGAGCGAAGAAGUAUUUGGGAAAGUAAAGAGAAAUCAGAAGGGAAGAAAAUGACGGUACCUGACUAAGAAGCAACGGCUAAAUACGUG